rnacentral:misc_RNA from 1 species
AACGCAUCUUGCACUAUUCGGCUUCCCCGGAUAGUAUGCCUGGUUGAGUGUCUGUGUAUCUCUCCUAUAUCAAUCUUUUUUGGUUGAUCAAUAGGGACUUGGGGUUAUUCUCGUCGGUAUACUUUAAUCAGUAUCUCGGUGAACCCUUUAAAUGUAGCAAGCUCCCAUCUUUCAUCGGAAAUACGCAAACUUGGGGAUGGCGUCGUAGCAAUCACUCUCAUCAGUAUUGUCGAAGCGCCUAUAUCAUACCUCUAAUCUGCGGUGCUAAUCUGUUAUAAGUGGGCGAAGCUUGACGACUGGCAAAGUGCCAUGCUCCCUUUAUUUUGGAGUACACGAACAAUAAUGACCUCAACUCAGGUAGGACGACCCGCUGGACUUAA